UAACUGUAACAGGGUUGAAAUAUUCAUUUCACGGAUUCUGUUCAUGUGUUCUGUUUUAAAUGUUAUUAUUUCCAUAUAACGCAUUGUGUUUACCUGGGUUACUUAUUAAGCUGUGCUCCUGUGGCCAGUCUUAGAGUUAAAGUCAGUCAAGCAUGUGAGUUACACAUGUCCAGUUUAUAUAAUUGUUCAGUCAGGCUUGACCAGUUAUUUUCCCGCCCUUUCCUUUGUCUUCUGGUCACUUCUAACUUGAACACAGAGCUGUACACGUCUACUUUUAAGAUGUACAUUUAUAGUACAGAGUUGCCAUUACUUCAAUAUAAGGUUAGUUCUAUUUCUACCUGUUUGCAUUUACUCUUUCUUGUAUUUGCAUUGAGUUGUAUUUAUGUUGUGAGUUGAUAUAACUCAUAUUUGAUAAGUAAUUAGGUUAAAUUCAGAAAAGCAGCAUUGCCAUCCUAAACGUGCUAACGAUUCCUAUAAUUCACAGUUUCCCAUACUCUUCACAUGUAUAAUCUUAUUUGCAGCAGUAGCACAGCACCCGCAGAGAAUUGUAUACGAUUGAGAGAGAGUUCCGUACACAUUCCACAAAUGUGACAUGGAAUUCGUAUAAUAAUAAAGACGAAUACAACAUA